AAGUCGUAAUAAGGUUUUAUAAUAAUCCUUUAAAGCCUUUCACACAACGACUCUAAUAACAUCGUGUGCAGUUCCGUCUAGUAUGGGCUAUGUCACUAAAGUGCUGGAAUACACCCGUAGAUCAGCAGUUAAACAGGGCGAAACCCCCCGUUUGGUUCAUAGAUUAGUCAGUGAUGGUCGGCGAGAGAUCUAUGUGUCCUCGUUGAUUAAGAUAUAAUCGGUCUCUAUGUCAGUUAUGGAGAGGCGAUGUUUCGUAGGUGAACCUGCGGAAGGAUCAUUAUUGAGUUAGGGUCCUCUGGGCUCUAUCUUUAACUCUUGUCUAUCUCAUCACGUUGCUUUGGCGGGCCCGUCUUUGACCGGACCGUUGGGGGGUGUAUCCCCUGAUCAGCGCCCGUUGGUAGCCCCUAAAAAAUCGUCGAAUGGUGUUGUCUAAGUCUUAAAAGAAAUAAUUAAAACUUUCAACAACGGAUCUCUUGGUUCUGGCAUCGAUGAAGAACGCAGCGAAAUGCGAUAAGUAAUGCGAAUUGUAGAAUUCCGUGAGUCAUUGAAUCUUUGAACGCACAUUGCGCCCUUUGGUAUUUUGAAGGGUAUGCCUGUCCGAGCGUCAUUAUUUAUUCUUAAGCCCGGUUUACGGUUGGGUCCCGCCGUGGGUCAUCACGCGGACCCGAAAGGUAAUAACGGUGCCCGUGGGCCCUGGAUGCAACGAGCUUUUUAGCACGUAUCUGCGCGGUCUUGGGCGCCGUUCCACUCAAUCAUCUCGCAGAUUGACCUUGGAUCAGAUAGGGAUACCCGCUGAACUUAAGCAUAUCAAUAAGCGGAGGAAAAGAAAUCAACAGGGAUUGCCUUAGUAACGGCGAGUGAAGCGGUAACAGCUUAAAUUUGAAAUCUGGCUCCUCCGGGGCUUGAGUUGUAAUUUGUAGAGGAUGCUUCGGGCAAGGCUGCGGUCUAAUUCGCUUGGAACAGCGAGUCGUAGAGGGUGAGAAUCCCGUCUGGGACCGCGAGCCGCGCCCGUGUGAAGCUUCUUCGACGAGUUGAGUUGUUUGGGAAUGCAGCUCUAAAUGGGUGGUAAAUUUCAUCUAAAGCUAAAUAUGGGCCAGAGACCGAUAGCGCAUAAGUAGAGUGAUCGAAAGAUGAAAAGCACUUUGAAAAGAGAGUUAAACAGUAUGUGAAAUUGUUGAAAGGGAAGCGUUUGCAAUUAGAUUUGCGCAUGGCGGUUUUCCCGGCCUUCUGGCCGGAUUACUCCGUUAUGUUUAGGCUAAUAUCGGUUCGGGCGGCCGGUGAAAGACCCCGGGAAUGUAUCUAUCUUUGGGUCGACUUAUAGCCCGGGGUGCAAUGCGGCCCGCCCGGACCGAGGGACGCGCUUCGGCUUGGAUGUUGGCGUAAUGGUUGUAAGCGGUC
rnacentral:rRNA from 1 species